rnacentral:rRNA from 1 species
CCAAUAGCGUAUAUUAAAGUUGUUGCAGUUAAAAAGCUCGUAGUUGAAUUUCGGGAUUGGCGCAUCGGUCGUGCCUCACGGGGUAUGAACUGGUGCAGUCAAUUUCUCACCUUCUGGAGAACCGCGAUGUCCUUAAUUGGAUGCCGCGGGGAACCAGGACCUUUACUUUGAAAAAAUUAGAGUGUUUAAAGCAGGCAUUUUUGCUUGAAUACAUUAGCAUGGAAUAAUAAAAUAGGACGGCAUGGUUCUAUUUUGUUGGUUUCUAGGACCACCGUAAUG